UCUCUCNUCUCUGCUAUGUGAGCUGCAGGUGCCUUUACCCUCUGAGCAACUUCACUUCCCCCUUCCUGAACCCUGUGCUAUUUUAUUUUGAGGAAUGGUCUCACUAAGUUGUAUAGUGUAGCCAAACUUUUUCUCUGUCCUGUCUGUAGGUUCCCACAGCCACUUAUGAAAUAAUCAUUUGGAAGCUUAAUAUCUUAAUAUUAAUUAUAAUUGCUUGGCCAAUGACUCGCUUCUUACUGGCAAGCUCUCUAUAUAAAUUAACCCAUUUCUAAUAAUCUGCAUAUCUCCAUGUGCCCCGUGGUUUACCGGUAAUGCUCUGCUGGCAUCUUAUUCCUCCAGCAGCUGUUGGCAUCUCCCUGACUCCACCCUCUUUCUUCCUGUCUCUCAGCCUGGACUUCCUGCCCAGCCACACUCUGCCCUGCCAUACACCAAAGCAGCCUCCCCAUCAGCCAAUCGUAAUAAACACAUUGACAGCAUACAGAGAGGCAUUUAUUUGAAUUGCAAAUAUCCUUCUCACCCUCCCCCAAACUGAGAUUCUAGCAGGGUUUCUUUGUGGAGUCAUGGGUGUCAUGAAACUCUAUAGACCUCUAUAAACCAGGCUGGCCUCGAACUCAUAGAGAUCUACCCACCUUUGCUUCCCAAGUGGUGCGAUUAAAGUCAUAUACUACAACCCCUUGCUUCUAAGUGCUUAUUAAAUAAAUAAACUAUCACCUUCUCUUUUUUCAUCA